rnacentral:rRNA from 1 species
GAUGAACGCUGGCGGCGUGCCUAAUACAUGCAAGUCGAGCGAACAGACGAGGAGCUUGCUCCUCUGACGUUAGCGGCGGACGGGUGAGUAACACGUGGAUAACCUACCUAUAAGACUGGGAUAACUUCGGGAAACCGGAGCUAAUACCGGAUAAUAUAUUGAACCGCAUGGUUCAAUAGUGAAAGACGGUUUUGCUGUCACUUAUAGAUGGAUCCGCGCCGCAUUAGCUAGUUGGUAAGGUAACGGCUUACCAAGGCGACGAUGCGUGGCCGACCUGAGAGGGUGAUCGGCCACACUGGAACUGAGACACGGUCCAGACUCCUACGGGAGGCAGCAGUAGGGAAUCUUCCGCAAUGGGCGAAAGCCUGACGGAGCAACGCCGCGUGAGUGAUGAAGGUCUUCGGAUCGUAAAACUCUGUUAUUAGGGAAGAACAAAUGUGUAAGUAACUAUGCACGUCUUGACGGUACCUAAUCAGAAAGCCUCGGCUAACUACGUG